GCUGGAGUGGCGGAGUAGACAAUCGCACUAGUCUGUAAAACUAGCGGCCGUAAGGCCUACCUAGGUGCAAAUCCUAGCUCCAGCA
rnacentral:tRNA from 1 species